rnacentral:rRNA from 1 species
AUUGAACGCUGGCGGCAUGCCUAACACAUGCAAGUCGAGCGGAGCGGCGGACGGGUGAGUAAUGCCUCGGAAGCUGCCUGGUAGUGGGGGAUACCGUCCGGAAACGGGCCCUAAUACCGCACACUAUCAGAUGAGCCUAGGUCGGAUUCGUUAGUUGGUGGGGUAAUGGCCUGCCAAGGCGACGAUCCGUCACUGGUCGGCGAGGAUGAUAAGUCGCACUGGAAUGGAGAAGCGGACCAGCCUCCUACGGUAGGCAGCAGUGGGGAAUAGUGGACAAUGGGCGAAAGCCGGAUCCAGCCAUGCCGCGUGUGUGAAGAAGGUCUUCGGAUUGUAAAGAACUUUAAGUUGGGAGGCGGUACCAACAGAAUAAGCACCGGCUAACUACGUGCCAGCAGCCGCGGUAAUAC